ensembl:lincRNA Gm44205 predicted gene, 44205
AAUCUGGACUGGACUGCUGGGAUCUGCUCCUGAGCAAGGGACUGGAUUUCAGAAGAACUAGAUGUUCUACUAGCAAAAAGAGUUCCAUUUGACAGGCCUGAAGAAGAGCUGCCAUGAAGAUAUCAAUGACAAUGGAGAUGCCACACCAGGAGAGGAACGAGAACGGCCUGCAUGGGGACUGAAUUCUUUCUUUCUCUGCACAGGACUAAUUUUCCUUCCUUUGUUGUUACAGAAGGUGAUUUUCUUACAGAGAAGCAUCUGCUCUCACCCUUGUGGCACAGGUGGCCUUCUCCUGCCAUCAAGUCCAGAGGAAUGCAUGCUGCCGGGGCUUAGCAGAACUUCCUCGUCCCUUCUAUUCCUGUGGCAGUGGGCUCAGAGGACUCAGGCUGGGGAGUGAGAAACUCCCAGAAUGAAGCCUACU